rnacentral:rRNA from 1 species
UACGGAGGAUGCAAGCGUUAUCCGGAAUGAUUGGGCGUAAAGCGUCCGCAGGUGGCUAUGUAAGUCUGCUGUUAAAGAGUGAGGCUCAACCUCAUAAAAGCAGUGGAAACUACAUGGCUAGAGUGCGUUCGGGGCAGAGGGAAUUCCUGGUGUAGCGGCGAAAUGCGUAGAUAUCAGGAAGAACACCGGUGGCGAAAGCGCUCUGCUAGGCCGCAACUGACACUGAGGGACGAAAGCUAGGGGAGCGAAUGGG